ACAGAGUGGUGAGAUUGCAAAAUAAGACAGAAGUCGGUGAAUGACAAUGUGAUCGGUGUCCUACAGCAUGCACCUAGGUCCCUGCCUGCGUCUCUAGGCUCCAAACAUUGGAGGUCUUUGGAAAUUUGGCCCUUACAGUUUACAGCCCUGAUCCUGCAGCCACCGAUGCUAAUGGCAAAAACACCAGGGACUUCACUGAGAGAAGGGUCAGAUCUGACAGAUCAAAGCCCCAACAAAAAUCACUCCAUCAUGCUGCAUGAGGCAUUAAGGAAGGUGCUCAGAGGCGAGGCGAUGGGUAGCAGCAGCCCGAUGCUGGUGCCCCAAAGAAAGAGGUGCUGGAGCUCCUCCGUUGGUGCCCUGCGGCCACUAGGCUGGGUUGACUUACUCGUGGGCAGCAAAAGCAAAGAAGCAGGGGUCCCUAUGCUCCCUCCAGGCCUGUGACAAGCGGAUGGAGCCCGCAAAGGACUUUGUCAAUAACAGACGUAUAGUACCUGCCAACAGCAACUACCCUGGCGCCCAUAUUGAUUU
rnacentral:lncRNA from 1 species